rnacentral:rRNA from 1 species
GGUUAAGCGACUAAGCGUACACGGUGGAUGCCCUGGCAGUCAGAGGCGAUGAAGGACGUGCUAAUCUGCGAAAAGCGUCGGUAAGGUGAUAUGAACCGUUAUAACCGGCGAUGUCCGAAUGGGGAAACCCAGUGCAAUUCGUUGCACUAUCGUUAACUGAAUACAUAGGUUAACGAGGCGAACCGGGGGAACUGAAACAUCUAAGUACCCCGAGGAAAAGAAAUCAACCGAGAUUCCCCCAGUAGCGGCGAGCGAACGGGGAGCAGCCCAGAGUCUGAAUCAGCUUGUGUGUUAGUGGAACGGUCUGGAAAGUCCGACGGUACAGGGUGAUAGUCCCGUACACCAAAAUGCACAGGUUGUGAACUCGAAGAGUAGGGCGGGACACGUGGUAUCCUGUCUGAAUAUGGGGGGACCAUCCUCCAAGGCUAAAUACUCCUGACUGACCGAUAGUGAACCAGUACCGUGAGGGAAAGGCGAAAAGAACCCCGGCGAGGGGAGUGAAAAAGAACCUGAAACCGUGUACGUACAAGCAGUGGGAGCACCUUCGGGUGUGACUGCGUACCUUUUGUAUAAUGGGUCAGCGACUUAUAUUCUGUAGCAAGGUUAACCGUAUAGGGGAGCCGCAGGGAAACCGAGUCUUAACUGGGCGUUAAGUUGCAGGGUAUAGACCCGAAACCCGGUGAUCUAGCCAUGGGCAGGUUGAAGGUUGGGUAACACUAACUGGAGGACCGAACCGACUAAUGUUGAAAAAUUAGCGGAUGACUUGUGGCUGGGGGUGAAAGGCCAAUCAAACCGGGAGAUAGCUGGUUCUCCCCGAAAGCUAUUUAGGUAGCGCCUCGUGAACUCAUCUUCGGGGGUAGAGCACUGUUUCGGCUAGGGGGUCAUCCCGACUUACCAACCCGAUGCAAACUACGAAUACCGAAGAAUGUUAUCACGGGAGACACACGGCGGGUGCUAACGUCCGUCGUGAAGAGGGAAACAACCCAGACCGCCAGCUAAGGUCCCAAAGUCAUGGUUAAGUGGGAAACGAUGUGGGAAGGCACAGACAGCCAGGAUGUUGGCUUAGAAGCAGCCAUCAUUUAAAGAAAGCGUAAUAGCUCACUGGUCGAGUCGGCCUGCGCGGAAGAUGUAACGGGGCUAAACCAUGCACCGAAGCUGCGGCAGCGACACUAUGUGUUGUUGGGUAGGGGAGCGUUCUGUAAGCCUGCGAAGGUGACCUGUGAGGGUUGCUGGAGGUAUCAGAAGUGCGAAUGCUGACAUAAGUAACGAUAAAGCGGGUGAAAAGCCCGCUCGCCGGAAGACCAAGGGUUCCUGUCCAACGUUAAUCGGGGCAGGGUGAGUCGACCCCUAAGGCGAGGCCGAAAGGCGUAGUCGAUGGGAAACAGGUUAAUAUUCCUGUACUUGGUGUUACUGCGAAGGGGGGACGGAGAAGGCUAUGUUAGCCGGGCGACGGUUGUCCCGGUUUAAGCAUGUAGGCUGGUUGUCCAGGCAAAUCCGGAUAAUCAAGGCUGAGGUGUGAUGACGAGGCACUACGGUGCUGAAGUAACAAAUGCCCUGCUUCCAGGAAAAGCCUCUAAGCAUCAGGUAACAUUAAAUCGUACCCCAAACCGACACAGGUGGUCAGGUAGAGAAUACCAAGGCGCUUGAGAGAACUCGGGUGAAGGAACUAGGCAAAAUGGUGCCGUAACUUCGGGAGAAGGCACGCUGGUGUGUAGGUGAAGUCCCUGCGGAUGGAGCUGAGACCAGUCGAAGAUACCAGCUGGCUGCAACUGUUUAUUAAAAACACAGCACUGUGCAAACACGAAAGUGGACGUAUACGGUGUGACGCCUGCCCGGUGCCGGAAGGUUAAUUGAUGGGGUUAUCCGUAAGGAGAAGCUCUUGAUCGAAGCCCCGGUAAACGGCGGCCGUAACUAUAACGGUCCUAAGGUAGCGAAAUUCCUUGUCGGGUAAGUUCCGACCUGCACGAAUGGCGUAAUGAUGGCCAGGCUGUCUCCACCCGAGACUCAGUGAAAUUGAACUCGCUGUGAAGAUGCAGUGUACCCGCGGCAAGACGGAAAGACCCCGUGAACCUUUACUAUAGCUUGACACUGAACAUUGAGCCUUGAUGUGUAGGAUAGGUGGGAGGCUUUGAAGCGUGGACGCCAGUCUGCGUGGAGCCAACCUUGAAAUACCACCCUUUAAUGUUUGAUGUUCUAACGUUGGCCCCUGACCGGGGUUGCGGACAGUGUCUGGUGGGUAGUUUGACUGGGGCGGUCUCCUCCCAAAGCGUAACGGAGGAGCACGAAGGUUAGCUAAUCCUGGUCGGACAUCAGGAGGUUAGUGCAAUGGCAUAAGCUAGCUUGACUGCGAGCGUGACGGCGCGAGCAGGUGCGAAAGCAGGUCAUAGUGAUCCGGUGGUUCUGAAUGGAAGGGCCAUCGCUCAACGGAUAAAAGGUACUCCGGGGAUAACAGGCUGAUACCGCCCAAGAGUUCAUAUCGACGGCGGUGUUUGGCACCUCGAUGUCGGCUCAUCACAUCCUGGGGCUGAAGUAGGUCCCAAGGGUAUGGCUGUUCGCCAUUUAAAGUGGUACGCGAGCUGGGUUUAGAACGUCGUGAGACAGUUCGGUCCCUAUCUGCCGUGGGCGCUGGAGAAUUGAGGGGGCUGCUCCUAGUACGAGAGGACCGGAGUGGACGCAUCACUGGUGUUCGGGUUGUCAUGCCAAUGGCACUGCCCGGUAGCUAAAUGCGGAAGAGAUAAGUGCUGAAAGCAUCUAAGCACGAAACUUGCCCCGAGAUGAGUUCUCCCUGAGACUUUAAGUCUCCUGAAGGAACGUUGAAGACGACGACGUUGAUAGGCCGGGUGUGUAAGCGCAGCGAUGCGUUGAGCUAACCGGUACUAAUGAACCGUGAGGCUUAACCUU